rnacentral:SRP_RNA from 13 species
GCCGGGCACAGUGGCGGCACGUGCCUGUGGUCCCAGCUACUCGGGAGGCUGAGGCGGGAGGAUCGACUAAGCCCAGGAGUUCUGGGCUGUAGUGCGCUAUGCCGAUCGGGUGUCUGCACUAAGUUCGGCAUCAAUAUGGUGACCUCCCGGGAGCGGGGACCACCAGGUUGCCUAAGGAGGGGUGAACCGGCCCAGGUCGGAAACAGAGCAGGUCAAAACUCCCGUGCUGAUCAGUAGUGGGAUCGCGCCUGUGAAUAGCCACUGCACUCCAGCCUGGGCAACAUAGCGAGACCCCGUCUCUA